UGGGGAAUUUUGGACAAUGGGCGAAAGCCUGAUCCAGCAAUGCCGCGUGUGUGAAGAAGGCCUUCGGGUUGUAAAGCACUUUUGUCCGGAAAGAAAUGGCUCUGGUUAAUACCUGGGGUCGAUGACGGUACCGGAAGAAUAAGGACCGGCUAACUACGUGCCAGCAGCCGCGGUAAUACGUAGGGUCCAAGCGUUAAUCGGAAUUACUGGGCGUAAAGCGUGCGCAGGCGGUUGUGCAAGACCGAUGUGAAAUCCCCGAGCUUAACUUGGGAAUUGCAUUGGUGACUGCACGGCUAGAGUGUGUCAGAGGAGGGUAGAAUUCCACGUGUAGCAGUGAAAUGCGUAGAGAUGUGGAGGAAUACCGAUGGCGAAGGCAGCCCCCUGGGAUAACACUGACGCUCAUGCACGAAAGCGUGGGGAGCAAACAGG
rnacentral:rRNA from 2 species